CUACGGGGGGCAGCAGUGGGGAAUAUUGCACAAUGGGCGAAAGCCUGAUGCAGCAACGCCGCGUGAGUGAAGAAGGCCCUUGGGUUGUAAAGCUCUUUCGGAUGAGAAGAAGGGAGUAUGGGUUAAUACCCCAUAUUUUUGACGGUACCAUCAUAAGAAGCACCGGCUAAUUCCGUGCCAGCAGCCGCGGUAAUACGGAAGGUGCAAGCGUUGUUCGGAGUGACUGGGCGUAAAGCGCACGUAGGUGGGCUUAUAAGUCGGAUGUGAAAUCCCCGGGCUUAACCCGGGAACUGCAUCCGAAACUAUAAGUCUUGAAUGCUUCAGAGGUUGGUAGAAUUCCUGGUGUAGGAGUGAAAUCCGUAGAUAUCAGGAGGAAUACCGGAGGCGAAGGCGGCCAACUGGGGAUGCAUUGACACUGAGGUGCGAAAGCGUGGGGAGCAAACAGGAUUAGAUACCCGUGUAGUC
rnacentral:rRNA from 1 species